GAGUUUGAUCCUGGCUCAGGAUGAACGCUGGCGGCGUGCUUAACACAUGCAAGUCGAACGAGGAAUCUUAAAUGAGACUUCGGUGGAUUUUAAAAUUCUUAGUGGCGGACGGGUGAGUAACGCGUGGGCAACCUGCCCUGUACAGGGGGACAACAGCUGGAAACGGCUGCUAAUACCGCAUAAGACCACGGAGCCGCAUGGCUCAGUGGGAAAAACUCCGGUGGUACAGGAUGGGCCCGCGUUGGAUUAGGUAGUUGGUGAGGUAACGGCCCACCAAGCCGACGAUCCAUAGCCGACCCUGAGAGGGUGACCGGCCACCGUUGGGACUGAGACACGGCCCAAACUCCUACGGGAGGCAGCAGUGGGGAA
rnacentral:rRNA from 1 species